AUUGAACGCUGGCGGCAGGCCUAACACAUGCAAGUCGAACGGUAACAGGAAGAAGCUUGCUUCUUUGCUGACGAGUGGCGGACGGGUGAGUAAUGUCUGGGAAACUGCCUGAUGGAGGGGGAUAACUACUGGAAACGGUAGCUAAUACCGCAUAACGUCGCAAGACCAAAGAGGGGGACCUUCGGGACUCUUGCCAUCGGAUGUGCCCAGAUGGGAUUAGCUAGUAGGUGGGGUAACGGCUCACCUAGGCGACGAUCCCUAGCUGGUCUGAGAGGAUGACCAGCCACACUGGAACUGAGACACGGUCCAGACUCCUACGGGAGGCAGCAGUGGGGAAUAUUGCACAAUGGGCGAAAGCCUGAUGCAGCCAUGCCGCGUGUAUGAAGAAGGCCUUCGGGUUGUAAAGUACUUUCAGCGGGGAGGAAGGGAGUAAAGUUAAUACCUUUGCUCAUUGACGUUACCCGCAGAAGAAGCACCGGCUAACUCCGUG
rnacentral:rRNA from 1 species